GAUCAUCACCUCCCUCUUGCGCUGCCACAAGGAGCAUGCCGCGGCCGCCAAUUUUUUGGGGAAAUGCAAAGGUCUCAAGCGUGAGGUGGCGCGCUGCUUGGAAGAGGAGGUAUGUUUUUCUGCCAGGAUUGACGCACGGCUUUUGGAUUUCUCAAGGUUUUGCUGCUUGAAUUCGAUAGAGAGCGAUGAAGGAGAAGAGCACGCAAAGUUGCUCGCGGACAAAGUAGAGAAUUUCAUGAUUGCUCCAUGUAAUCUCCCGUGGAGGAUUGGAGCGAGGAGUCCCUGUUUGGAUCAAAGAUGGUGACAAGCGCUCAUAGCGAUCGAGAGCGCGAGAUUUU
rnacentral:lncRNA from 1 species